GACGAACCGUGCGAACGUUGUUCGGAAUCACUGGGCUUAAAGGGCGCGUAGGCGGGCUGCCAAGUCUGGGGUGAAAUCCUCCGGCUCAACCGGAGAACGGCCUCGGAUACUGGCGGUCUCGAGGGAGGUAGGGGCGUGCGGAACUAAGGGUGGAGCGGUGAAAUGCGUUGAUAUCCUUAGGAACUCCGGUGGCGAAGGCGGCACGCUGGACCUCUUCUGACGCUGAGGCGCGAAAGCCAGGGGAGCAAACAGG
rnacentral:rRNA from 1 species